rnacentral:lncRNA from 1 species
ACAUCUCUUGGAGUUCUAGCUCACCUUUCUGGUGUUGUGUCAAGGACAAGAACUCGAUGAAAGCUAAAGAGUAAGUGAGACUUUUCUCAAAGAAAUAGGAUAAAAUAGAAAUAUGUAUAUUAAGAAAGAAAUUAGAAUGGCUAUUGCCAAAAUACAAGAAAACUAGAGACCCUUGAAACUAAACUAGAAGCAAGAAAGGAGUUGACAAGAGUGAAGAGGGCUUCACUCUUGCCUCUAUAUAUACUAUCUAACUAGAAGCCACAUGGCGAUGUUCUAUAAGAC